rnacentral:lncRNA from 1 species
GGAAGGGAAGGCGAGGCGGGAAAGGGCGAGGAGGUAAGCAGAGACGAAGAAAGGGAAGACCAAGUCGAGGAGAGGGACAAGGCCGCUGAGUGAGAAUACCAUUAUGAAGGCUACUAAUUGCAGCUCUAUUAUACGAAGAGAUCCCAUUAUUCCUCCCAUCAUCGUAUUCGUCUGUUGAUUUUGCAGGGGUGGUGUUGUUUCCCCUGCCCCCACCGCCAGAGAUACCCCUGACAUUUUUUCAGUUUCUGGAUUUUGAGAGGGUGCAAACUGGAAGUUUUGUUUGUAAUUAUUUUCUGCAGAUGUGACUGUGAUCGAGAGAGAGGUGGAUUGGAUUUGUAUUCGGUGGGGAUACUCAGUCCAGGAUAGAAUUAAAUCUGAUUUCUCU